rnacentral:misc_RNA from 1 species
CUGCACGUUGUCGUCUUAAAUCAGUUUUGAUUAUGCAUUAUGUAUUUCUGAAGCCAUUUUAAUGUUCAAAGAAAACAAUUCUUGAGUCCCAUAAUUGUCUUUCUGACCAAACAAAAUUUAUAUAUUUAUGAUAUGUGUGGAAAUCAAAAUUUAAUGUGGUCAGACCAGCACAAUAACCAAUUUUCUAAGCAUGGAACAAUAAUAUUUA